UUUUGUACGAAUUACGUACGCAUUAUUUUUAGUUUACGUAUGAAUUAUUUUGGUUUUCGUAAAAAUUAUUUUAGCCUCAACUCUGAUUGUAUGAAUUGUUUUUGGGUUUCGUACGAAUUAUUUUUUAUUUAUAUACAAUUUUUUUUUGUUUACGUGUGAAUUUUUUUGCUUACUAGACCAUACGUAAUCGGGUUUGCAUCUGA
rnacentral:lncRNA from 1 species